GUGAUACAUGGAAAACAAUAAUUUUAUUAACAAAAAGUUUGUUAUUGUUGUAUUUAAAGAUGAAAAUGAAAACAGAGGAAAAUGUUCAAUAGAAGUUAUACCAUCUUGCUGGCUUAUUGGAGCUGAUAUGUGUUAUUGGCCACCAAAACGCCCUAGUUUAUCCAGAAUUGGACAUUAUAUUGAAAAAUGUGCCAAAUCUGAAAUCAACUGGCAAAGGUUUUCCAUAAAGAUUCUUUCAAGCACAGACAACCUUAAAUCUGCCAAUGAACUUGCAGAAAAACUCCUAUACACAUCAAAUGUAGAAACAGAGGAUAGUGAGUUUGAAACAGAGCAUUGUACAAAAAAAGAAAACUUCUUGAUGCAGAAAGUGAUGGUGAUAUGCAGUGUCUGCAGAAAUGUUUGGUUUAAAAAAAAGUACUAAAAAAUCUAAAUUUACACCUUCAGUAUUUAAUCCAGUUAUCAUGUCUAAAACGCCAGACAGACUCGAUGUACCAGCUGCUGAAAUAACAGAAGUUCCAACAAGGUUUGAAUCACAAAUUGAUUUUGCAGUUAAUAAAGCGAAACUGAUCAGCCUGCUUUUGCGAUGAGAUUUUCGGCAUUUGAAAAGUCAUGCUUAGAUCUUUUAAAUGGUGUUCGUUAUGGUAUUAAAAAGAUAAGAAAUCGUUUAGAUAACAUUGAAAAUAGGCUGUAAAACUUUUAAAGAACCUGCUAUUGACCAAACCAUGUAAGCAGCGUCAACUGCACUCCAAACACAAUGGCAUAAUAUAUUGCCUAAUUAAGCGAAAUAGACUUAGAAACAUAGAAAUGAUGAUAGCAGAAAAAACUGUCAGUGAUUUUUUGGUUUGUCAUCUUGCUUCGUUGGGCGGC
rnacentral:misc_RNA from 1 species